rnacentral:tRNA from 1 species
AGAAACUUAGGAUAACUUUCUAAACCAAGAGCCUUCAAAGCUCAUAAUAGGGAUUAAAUCUCCCUAGUUUCUG